GCCUCUGUAGCUUAAUGGAUAGAGUAGCGGUCUUCGGAACCGCUGGUAGGGGUUCGAUUCCUCUCAGAGGCACAA
rnacentral:tRNA from 3 species